rnacentral:rRNA from 1 species
GUCGUAACAAGGUUUCCGUAGGUGAACCUGCGGAAGGAUCAUUAUCGUUCCUUCACACGCACUUUGUGUACUGUUGUCGUCCCUUCUGGGGGAGUCGCAUGGCCUGCCUUGCGACUGCCUCGGAGCACCCCGCUUUUGCGGACCUCAUUGGAGAUGGCUGUUGCCCAGUUUCGGCUGGUGUUGGCCUCUCCUCCCCCUGUGAUGCGCGCCUGUCGUCGUCAUCACAACGAGUUAUGUAAAUCACACAACUCGCUCCGAUGGAUAUCUUGGCAUGAGCAACGAUGAAGAACGCAGCCAAAUGCGAUACGUAGUGCGAAUUGCAGAAUUCAGUGAAUCAUCGAGACUUUGAACGCAAAUGGCGCUUCCAGCUUCCGGCUGGAAGCACACUUCCUCCAGUGGCGCCACCACCCCCCUCGGGCGCGUCCGCGCGUUCGGAUCGUGGCCGCUGCUCCGGUUUCGACUGGAGCGCCGGCUCAAGUGGCGAGCGUCGGUGUUUGACCGCGUGUCGACAUGAUCGUCAGCGAUGACGGUGGUGUCGAGCCAAUGUGCUAGAGUAUCUCUUUCUUUCAUUGGCCAUCUUUUGAUGCUUGCGCGUCUUCGGCGCGGUGUGCUGCGUUCCAGCUCACCCCCCAUUCUUUUGAAUACCGCCAUGGAGUGACGUGAGGCUACCCGCUGAACUUAAGCAUAUCACUAAGCGGAGGAGAAGAAAACAACCGUGAUGCCCCUAGUAAUGGCGAAUGAAGCGGGCAGAGCUCACGCCGCCAAUCUGGCCGGCCUCGCGCCGCCCCGAAUUGUAGUCUAGAAAGGUGCUAUCGGCCGCGCCCGCCGCUCAAAUCCCUUGGAAUAGGGUAUCGGAGAAGGUGAGAAUCCUGUACCGUGGCGGUCCGCGGUCGCACGAUGCGCUCUUGCAGAGUCGGGUUGCUUGGGAUUGCAGCUUGAAGUGGGUGGUAAAUUCCAUCUAAAGCUAAAUACUGGCUCAUGACCGAUAGCGAACAAGUACCGUGAGGGAAAGAUGCAAAGAACUUUGAAAAGAGAGUUAAAGAGUGCUUGAAAUUGGCAGGAUGAAACCCGGAUAGCAGUGGCAUCGCGUGGCGUCGACUCAGCCCAUCUUGAGGCCUUUAGGAGACCGAAAGGCUCUGUGGCUGUUAGGGGUUGGUGCACUUCGGCGUCAUGGGUCUGUGGCGGCUUUUGCGGAGCAACACGGUUUAGAGUUGGGCUUCGGCGUGGCUCUGGAUGAUGGCUCCUUGGAGGCUCUCACAGAUGUGCAUGGUGCUAUCCGACCCGUCUAGAAACACGGACCAAGGAGUCUGACGCGUGUGCGAGUACUACAGUUGUAAGCUGUUGUGCGCAAUGAAAGUGAAGGGCGUGCCCCGCCAACCGACCUUGAUCUUCUGUGAAGGGUUUGAGUGGAGCACACGAGUCGGGACCCGAAAGAUGGUGAACUAUGCGUGA